GGAACACAAAAUGAGCCCUCUACGUCCUGUAGCAUAGGAAAUCCCUAAUCCACGCAACCUGAAGAUGCUCGCUCACUCACGAGUCAGUCCAGGUCGAUCCAGUCCUCAAAAUUAUUCCUCGCGUGCACUAAACGCAACGCAUUUGUUGGUUCUUUCCAUGGGAACUUCCAAAUCUACGGAGCUAACUUUGGUAUAGGACAAAAGCUGGGCGGGAGUAGGAGUGUAGG
rnacentral:lncRNA from 1 species